rnacentral:lncRNA from 1 species
UGUAAGUAUGCAGGUUGGUGUAGCAUAGCAAAAAAUAAAUGGAAUGGGCUUGGCCCAAAAGCAAAUAAAAAAAUAAAAAGAGUAAAGCGGGCGCAAAAUAAGAGAAGCAAGGGUAACAUAGCAAAAAUAAAAUAUGGCCCAAGCUGCAAGGGCCCAAACUGAAUAAAAACAACAAAAUAACCCAAGGCUUAACGCGUAGCCCUUCAAUGGAUCCAGUGGCUCAGAUUCUACCUUUGAUCAAGCGCAUUAGGAUCAUAGGUUAUGUGUACUUUAGCCAGUUGAUUCCAUCAGAAGUCCAUAAUUGAAACACAUGGAGAAGUCACGCAUGAGGAUCAUGUACCAGAUCCCCUUUUCAAUUAUCCAAACUUAAACAAUCAGGUAGUGAUACAUGCAUUAUUUAAAUUUAAAAUAAACAAAAAUAAACCAUCAGAUCCAUCUGAUGGAGAGAGAGAGAGAGAAAGAGAGAGAGAGAGAGAGAGAGAGAGAGAGAGAGAACUUCUUCUUCUUUGUUCUCUCUUCUACCUCACGUAGAUCAGAUCAAGCAUGGAGAACAAGCAGAAUGGUGCAGAAAUACAUAAUGGAAAAUCAACAUACAUUCAUGGCAAGUGUAUUAGAAAGACUAACAAUAACAAAUUAGCUCUAGCGUUGACGAAUAAGAGGCUUAAGGUUCAUUUAAGAACUGAGCUAGAUUUGAUUUCAAUUCAAAUAAACAAGCAAUUUCAAGCAUGGAAGCAAGUUUAGCACAACCUAACAAAGCUACUCAUACAAUUAUUUCAUGGGAAAUAAGCACGAUUCAAAAAUCUAAAAAAACGUGGAAGAACAAUAUGAACAACGUGACCUAAUUUUAAAAUUAAAUGGUCGUGUUCAUGCAUUAGACCAAAUUGACACGGGGGAAGUGCUCAACAUAAUCAUAGCUACAUAGUGACAUCAAGUUUUUGCGCAAAAAGUGAAAGAUUAUACAUGAUCAGAGAGCGUGAUUUUUCGGUGAAUAUGACGUUUUUGGAGAAGAUCUCCAUAUUCCAGUGAGGAUCAACUUUUUCAGAUACAUCUUUUUCCUUGCUUUUUUCUGAAUGAUUUUCUCCUUAUGCUACUUCUACCACUCUUCUUCUUCUUAAUUCCCACUUAGUUAAUACGUGAAAUCAAGGAAAUUGUGUCGCUCUGUUUUGGUGCAAGCUUUUGUGAUUUUCAUUUUUUCUUAUCUUCUUAUUGAAGUGUGUUUAUAUAGGCAAUGAGAGCGAGGUGAUAAGCAUGUGUGAUCCUUGUAAGUGUGUGAAAAAAAUAAAGAUAUUUUGAGGAUUUGGUAGGAAUUCGUGUGAACUCAAGGGUGAAG